GAUGAACGCUAGCGGGAGGCCUAACACAUGCAAGCCGAGCGGUAUUGUUUCUUCGGAAAUGAGAGAGCGGCGUACGGGUGCGGAACACGUGUGCAACCUGCCUUUAUCUGGGGGAUAGCCUUUCGAAAGGAAGAUUAAUACUCCAUAAUAUAUUGAACGGCAUCGUUUAAUAUUGAAAGCUCCGGCGGAUAGAGAUGGCACGCGCAAGAUUAGCUAGUUGGUGAGGUAACGGCUCACCAAGGCGAUGAUCUUUAGGGGGCCUGAGAGGGUGAUCCCCCACACUGGUACUGAGACACGGACCAGACUCCUACGGGAGGCAGCAGUGAGGAAUAUUGGUCAAUGGGUGCAAGCCUGAACCAGCCAUCCCGCGUGAAGGACGACUGCCCUAUGGGUUGUAAACUUCUUUUGUAUAGGGAUAAACCUACCCUCGUGAGGGUAGCUGAAGGUACUAUACGAAUAAGCACCGGCUAACUCCGUGCCAGCAGCCGCGGUAAUACGGAGGGUGCAAGCGUUAUCCGGAUUUAUUGGGUUUAAAGGGUCCGUAGGCGGACUUAUAAGUCAGUGGUGAAAGCCUGUCGCUUAACGAUAGAACUGCCAUUGAUACUGUAAGUCUUGAGUAUAUUUGAGGUAGCUGGAAUAAGUAGUGUAGCGGUGAAAUGCAUAGAUAUUACUUAGAACACCAAUUGCGAAGGCAGGUUACCAAGAUAUAACUGACGCUGAGGGACGAAAGCGUGGGGAGCGAACAGGAUUAGAUACCCUGGUAGUCCACGCCGUAAACGAUGCUAACUCGUUUUUGGGCUUUAGGGUUCAGAGACCAAGCGAAAGUGAUAAGUUAGCCACCUGGGGAGUACGCUCGCGAGAGUGAAACUCAAAGGAAUUGACGGGGGCCCGCACAAGCGGUGGAUUAUGUGGUUUAAUUCGAUGAUACGCGAGGAACCUUACCAAGACUUAAAUGGGAAUUGACAGCUUUAGAAAUAGAGCUUUCUUCGGACAAUUUUCGAGGUGCUGCAUGGUUGUCGUCAGCUCGUGCCGUGAGGUGUUAGGUUAAGUCCUGCAACGAGCGCAACCCCUGUCACUAGUUGCCAUCAUUCAGUUGGGGACUCUAGUGAGACUGCCUACGCAAGUAGAGAGGAAGGUGGGGAUGACGUCAAAUCAUCACGGCCCUUACGUCUUGGGCCACACACGUAAUACAAUGGCCGGUACAGAGGGCAGCUACACAGCGAUGUGAUGCAAAUCUCGAAAGCCGGUCUCAGUUCGGAUUGGAGUCUGCAACUCGACUCUAUGAAGCUGGAAUCGCUAGUAAUCGCGCAUCAGCCAUGGCGCGGUGAAUACGUUCCCGGGCCU
rnacentral:rRNA from 1 species